rnacentral:tRNA from 1 species
GGAGGUAUGGUUCAAGUGGUAGAACACCUGCCUAACAAGUACUAAGCCCUGAGUUCAAUCCCUAGUACUUCCA